rnacentral:tRNA from 1 species
GGUUCCGUAGCUCAAUUGGAUAGAGCAUCCGCCUCCGGAGCGGACGGUUGCAAGUUCGAGUCUUGUCGGAAUCA